rnacentral:rRNA from 1 species
GAUGAACGCUGGCGGCGUGCUUAACACAUGCAAGUCGAACGGUGAAGGCGGAGAUUGCUCUGCUGGAUCAGUGGCGAACGGGUGAGUAUCACGUGAGCAAUCUGCCCCUGACUCUGGGAUAAGCGCUGGAAACGGCGUUUAUUACUGGAUAUGAGCUGCUUAGGCAUCUUCAGCAGCUGUAAAGAACUCCGUUCAGGGAUGAGCUCGCGGCCUAUCAGCUUGUUGGUGAGGUAACGGCUCACCAAGGCGUCGACGGGUAGCCGGCCUGAGAGGGUGACCGGCCACAAUGGGACUGAGACAGGGCCCAGAGUGCUACGGGAGGCAGCGGUGGGAAAUAUUGCACAAUGGGCGAAAGCCUGAUGCAGGAACGCCGCGUGGGGGAAGACGGCCUUCGGGUUGUAAACCUCUUUUAGCAGGGAAGAAGCGAAAGUGACGGUACCUGCAGAAAAAGCGCCGGCUAACUACGUG